rnacentral:rRNA from 1 species
UGGGGAAUCUUGCGCAAUGCGCGAAAGCGUGACGCAGCAACGCCGCGUGGGGGAAGAAGGCCUUCGGGUUGUAAACCCCUUUCAGUUGGGACGAAGCUUCGUCGGUUAAUAGCCGGCCGGAGUGACGGUACCUUCAGAAGAAGCCCCGGCUAACUACGUGCCAGCAGCCGCGGUAAUACGUAGGGGGCUAGCGUUGUCCGGAAUCAUUGGGCGUAAAGCGCGUGUAGGCGGUCCGGUAAGUCCGCUGUGAAAGUCGGGGGCUCAACCCGCGGAUGCCGGUGGAUACUGUCGGGCUUGAGUACGGAAGAGGCGAGUGGAAUUCCUGGUGUAGCGGUGAAAUGCGCAGAUAUCAGGAGGAACACCAAUUGCGAAGGCAGCUCGCUGGGACGUUACUGACGCUGAGACGCGAAAGCGUGGGGAGCAAAC